rnacentral:rRNA from 1 species
GCCCGUACCGUAAACCGACACAGGUGGGUGGGAUGAGUAUUCUAAGGCGCGUGGAAGAACUCUCUUUAAGGAACUCUGCAAAAUAGCACCGUAUCUUCGGUAUAAGGUGUGGUUAGCCUUGUAUUAGGAUUUACUCCGAAAGCAAGGAAACUUACAACAAAGAGUCCCUCCCGACUGUUUACCAAAAACACAGCACUCUGCUAACUCGUAAGAGGAUGUAUAGGGUGUGACGCCUGCCCGGUGCUCGAAGGUUAAUUGAUGGGGUUAGCAUUAGCGAAGCUCUUGAUCGAAGCCCGAGUAAACGGCGGCCGUAACUAUAACGGUCCUAAGGUAGCGAAAUUCCUUGUCGGUUAAAUACCGACCUGCAUGAAUGGCGUAACGAGAUGGGAGCUGUCUCAAAGAGGGAUCCAGUGAAAUUGUAGUGGAGGUGAAAAUUCCUCCUACCCGCGGCAAGACGGAAAGACCCCGUGGACCUUUACUACAGCUUGACACUGCUACUUGGAUAAGAAUGUGCAGGAUAGGUGGGAGGCUUUGAGUAUAUGACGCCAGUUGUAUAUGAGCCAUUGUUGAGAUACCACUCUUUCUUAUUUGGGUAGCUAACCAGCUUGAGUUAUCCUCAAGUGGGACAAUGUCUGGUGGGUAGUUUGACUGGGGCGGUCGCCUCCCAAAUAAUAACGGAGGCUUACAAAGGUUGGCUCAGAACGGUUGGAAAUCGUUCGUAGAGUAUAAAGGUAUAAGCCAGCUUAACUGCAAGACAUACAAGUCAAGCAGAGACGAAAGUCGGUCUUAGUGAUCCGGUGGUUCUGUGUGGAAGGGCCAUCGCUCAAAGGAUAAAAGGUACCCCGGGGAUAACAGGCUGAUCUCCCCCAAGAGCUCACAUCGACGGGGAGGUUUGGCACCUCGAUGUCGGCUCAUCGCAUCCUGGGGCUGGAGCAGGUCCCAAGGGUAUGGCUGUUCGCCAUUUAAAGCGGUACGCGAGCUGGGUUCAGAACGUCGUGAGACAGUUCGGUCCCUAUCUGCCGUGGGCGUAAGAAGAUUGAAGAGAUUUGACCCUAGUACGAGAGGACCGGGUUGAACAAACCACUGGUGUAGCUGUUGUUCUGCCAAGAGCAUCGCAGCGUAGCUAAGUUUGGAAAGGAUAAACGCUGAAAGCAUCUAAGCGUGAAGCCAACUCUAAGAUGAAUCUUCUCUAAGCUCUCUAGAAGACUACUAGUUUGAUAGGCUGGGUGUGUAAUGGAUGAAAGUCCUUUAGCUGACCAGUACUAAUAGAGCGUUUGGCUUAUCUUUAAUAAAGCAU